AUGGCGGCGCUGCCCUACUUUGACGAGAUCGACCCCUCCGCCAUCGACGUCCUCCUCGUCACCCACUUCCACUUGGACCACGCCGCCUCGCUGCCCUACUUCCUCGAGAAGACGACGUUCAAGGGCCGCGUGUUCAUGACCCACGCCACCAAGGCCAUCUACAGGCUGCUGCUCUCGGAUUACGUCAAGGUCAGCAAGGUGUCGGUGGAGGACAUGCUGUUUGACGAGCAGGACAUCAUCCGUUCCAUGGACAAGAUCGAGGUCAUAGACUUCCACCAAACACUUGAAGUUAAUGGCAUACGCUUCUGGUGCUAUACUGCUGGCCAUGUACUUGGUGCUGCCAUGUUCAUGGUGGAUAUUGCCGGUGUUCGCAUUCUUUACACCGGUGACUACUCCCGUGAAGAAGACCGGCACCUAAAAGCUGCUGAGAUCCCCCAAUUCUCCCCUGAUAUUUGCAUUAUUGAGUCAACUUAUGGCGUGCAGCAACACCAACCCCGCCAUGUCAGAGAAAAGCGCUUCACUGAUGCCAUCCACAACACUGUUUCUCAAGGGGGGCGUGUUCUUAUCCCGGCAUAUGCUCUUGGCGCCAUGGCACGGCCACACAUGGAGGGCCAGGGCGAAGACACGGCCACGGUGGUGCAGCCUGUGGUCCACAUCGCCGGCAAGAAGAACCACCACGAGGUCGGCUUUAGGGGAAGAGAGAGGGAGAGGUCGGGUCAUGUGCAAACAACAUCAAAAUAA
rnacentral:rRNA from 1 species